rnacentral:ncRNA from 2 species
UUUAUUGUCAGCCUUUUGGGUGCCCGCAUCGGCGGGAGAAUCGGGAAGUCGGUGUAAAUCCGACACUGCCCCCGCAACGGUAAUGAUGCCAGGCAUCUAAGUCCGGAGACCGGCCCAAAUCAGGUAUAGUGG